GACGAACGCUGGCGGCGUGCUUAACACAUGCAAGUCGAACGGAAAGGCCUGCUUUCCCUUGUGGAUUGCGGGUACUCGAGUGGCGAACGGGUGAGUAACACGUGAGUGAUCUGCCCCCAACUUUGGUAUAAGCCUGGGAAACUGGGUCUAAUUCCCGAUAGGACUGCAGGGUGGUGCCUGUGGUGGAAAACGAUUUUCUAGUGGUUGGGGAUGAGCUCGCGGCCUAUCAGCUUGUUGGUGGGGUAAUGGCCUACCAAGGCGGCGACGGGUAGCCGGCCUGAGAGGGUGGACGGUCACAUUGGGACUGAGAUACGGCCCAGACUCCUACGGGAGGCAGCAGUGGGGAAUAUUGCACAAUGGGCGGAAGCCUGAUGCAGCGACGCCGCGUGGGGGAUGACGGCCUUCGGGUUGUAAACUCCUUUCGACCGCGAGGAAGCCACCUGGUUGGAAGGGUGGUGACGGUAGUGGUAGAAGAAGCACCGGCUAACUACGUG
rnacentral:rRNA from 1 species